CGAAUUCAAGAUCGAUUUUCGAAAAGGAUCGAAACACGAGGAUCUUCUGGAAUUCAGAAUUGAGACCGAAUCCAUGUGCUGGAGAGGCGCAUCGAGAGGCGAAUUGAUCACCAAUUAAACGGGCACGAUUGUUAAUCGUAGUCACUCUCUCGACUAUGAUCCAACCGAGUACGUCACUCGUACACUCGAAAACGAUGGGUAACCGUCACUUUGACCGACCGAGUAAUUACGUACGCUGUCACUUCUCACUUUAUUGGACACUAAUUUCUGGCCCGCUCAACAACCCGCUUCAAUCAACCAGAAUUGCACACUGUGUGUAACACAUUUUCUACACAUAUAUACGAGCUACUUGUUGAUCGACACUUGAACAGCAAGCAAGCAAGCAAGCAAACAAGCACCAUAGAAACGGUAGAAACUUCAAACACGUCACAGGAUUGAUCCACUUCCCUUUUCAAACUCGUCGAUUGAUAAUUCCAUCUGUCCACGAUAAAUAUCGAUUGGAUCGAUCAAUGGUUGCGAAGGAUAUAUUUAUUAUGUUUCGACGAGGUAAUGGAUGAUUAAUCGAGGAGGACGAUGUUGUCACGGAUUGUAUUAUGGCCGAGUUGUAAACGCGCCCAUUCAUGGAACACUCUCGGUCUGAGGGACCGGGCGAGACUGGCGGAAGAAACGCGCGCGUGCCGCUUGGGAACACAUAGGGAACGCGGAACGCAUGUCAAAAUGAAAUGUCUAGAGGGAAGGUAUACACAACAUCCUUGCGAAGGAUCUUGAAAAUUUCUCUCUUUAACUGAUUGGAUGAUGGGAUUGGAAAUUCACGGGAUUCGCCGAAGGGACGAAGGGACGAAGGGAAAGAAAAAUUUCGAGGAAUUGAGGAGGAAAUAUUGAAAUCGAUGGAAUUUAAAAAUACGUAAAGUUUGACGUUUUUUGAGUGACGUGUAUCUGAGAGUAUCUGAAGGUAACAGUUAAUGGAGAGAGUGGAGGGGGGAGGGGAAAAGAAAAAUGUUGAAAACUUGAGUUUACCAAGAACUGUGUUCAAUAAAAUAUGGAAUAUGUUGUUUCUUUUUAUACAAUUGUAAGUAUUGAAAGUAGGGAAAAUGUAUGGUGUUGUAUUGAUAGAAGUUUUUAAAUAAAGCGAGUGUAAUUA